rnacentral:rRNA from 1 species
UACAUAGGGAGCAAGCGUUAUCCGGAUUUAUUGGGUGUAAAGGGUGCGUAGACGGGAAAUUAAGUUAGUUGUGAAAUCCCUCGGCUUAACUGAGGAACUGCAACUAAAACUGAUUUUCUUGAGUACUGGAGAGGAAAGUGGAAUUCCUAGUGUAGCGGUGAAAUGCGUAGAUAUUAGGAGGAACACCAGUGGCGAAGGCGGCCGCCUGGCCUGUUGCUGACGCUGAGGCACGAAAGCGUGGGGAGCAAAUAGG